AGGAUUCGGGAGAAGCUGUUUUCAGACAGGGCCGAAGGGGCAAAAGUGACAAACUCUCAGGCAAAAGAACCGAAUC
rnacentral:ncRNA from 1 species